GACGAACGCUGGCGGCGUGCUUAACACAUGCAAGUCGAACGGAAAGGCCCUGCUUUUGUGGGGUGCUCGAGUGGCGAACGGGUGAGUAACACGUGAGUAACCUGCCCUUGACUUUGGGAUAACUUCAGGAAACUGGGGCUAAUACCGGAUAGGAGCUCCUGCUGCAUGGUGGGGGUUGGAAAGUUUCGGCGGUUGGGGAUGGACUCGCGGCUUAUCAGCUUGUUGGUGGGGUAGUGGCUUACCAAGGCUUUGACGGGUAGCCGGCCUGAGAGGGUGACCGGGCACAAUGGGACUGAGGUACGGCCCAGACUCCUAAGGGGGGCAAGAGGGGGGAAUAUUGGACAAUGGGGCGGAGCCUGGUGGCAGCACGCCGGGGGGGGGAAGACGGGCUUCGGGGUGGAAACCGGUUUCGGCUGUUACCGAGGGGGGGGGACGGUAAAGGGUUAAGAAGCAACGGCUAACUACGUG
rnacentral:rRNA from 1 species